AAUUCCUGAGGCAUGUUUAAAGAGUUUUGUAUUUCAUCAAGAAGGUGCUGCUGAUUCACAAAGAUUUUAUAUUUAAGAAAAUCUGAGCAUCAUUCCAAAUAACUGUUAACAUGUUUGUCAACUAAACAUGUUUUGUAAACGUAAUAAACUUUAUAAAAAUAUUUUUUAUUUUUUAUUAAUAAUCAAGUAUAAAGAACAAUGCAUAGUGUGAAAACGCGGAUUAUAAAAAGUAUAUUAAAUAAAAGGACUACAUUUCCCAGAAUGCACCUGCACCUACUCAUCUGCCCCCACCCUUCAGGUGCGACUGCUCAACCUAUGGGCUUGACGGGAAAAUUCAAAAUCGCGAACCGUUACUGCCUGGACUACUCCGUCUCUUGUUUGUUUGUUUGCUCAUUAACAGUAAGAGGUCAUGUACACUGUGGUCAACUUUGUGGACGAUGAAGAGGUUUCUGGGUAAAGCUGAUAGAAAUAUAAUGAAGUAACAGUGAAAGCUAAAACAUCAGACUGAUCCAGACACUGAAGAAAUUGAUGUCACUGCAAUCUGGCCAAAAUGAUACAACUAUAUUGAAGUAACCUACUGUAAUGAAGCUGCAGAACAACACAGAGACUCUGAGGACAUCAACACAGAAAAUUAAGGCUCCAAAGAGAUGUCUGUCCAGAUGAGGGUGCAUCAACGUUACCUUUGCUGACAAGUAUAUGCUUUACAAUGUAAAACCUAACAGUUAACUUAACUCAAACCAUUUAAGGAAAUCGGUUGCCUUAACCCAUU